rnacentral:rRNA from 1 species
UACGAAGGGGGCUAGCGUUGUUCGGAAUUACUGGGCGUAAAGCGCACGUAGGCGGAUAUUUAAGUCAGGGGUGAAAUCCCGGGGCUCAACCCCGGAACUGCCUUUGAUACUGGGUAUCUCGAGUCCGAGAGAGGUGAGUGGAAUUCCGAGUGUAGAGGUGAAAUUCGUAGAUAUUCGGAGGAACACCAGUGGCGAAGGCGGCUCACUGGCUCGGACUGACGCUGAGGUGCGAAAGCGUGGGGAGCAAACAGGG